rnacentral:rRNA from 1 species
UACGUAGGGCGCAAGCGUUAUCCGGAAUUAUUGGGCGUAAAGAGCUCGUAGGCGGUUUGUCGCGUCUGCCCGUGAAAGUCCGGGGCUCAACUCCGGAUCUGCGGUGGGUACGGGCAGACUAGAGUGAUGUAGGGGAGACUGGAAUUCCUGGUGUAGCGGUGAAAUGCGCAGAUAUCAGGAGGAACACCGGUGGCGAAGGCGGAUCUCUGGGCCUUACCUGACGCUGAGGCGCGAAAGCUAGGGGAGCGAACAGG